rnacentral:rRNA from 1 species
AGAGUUUGAUCCUGGCUCAGAACGAACGCUGGCGGCGUGCCUAACACAUGCAAGUCGAACGGAAAUUUGAGAGCUUGCUCUUAAAUUUAGUGGCGCACGGGUGAGUAACGCGUAGAUAAUCUGCCUGACGAUCUGGGAUAACACUUCGAAAGAGGUGCUAAUACCGGAUAAGCCCACGGAGUCUUUGGACUUUGCGGGAA